rnacentral:tRNA from 1 species
GGGAAUAAUUGCGGGAAAAAUCUUUCUUAGGCGUGAUAGUCGCAAAACAGGAGAAGAUGACUAUGCAAAGUUUGUA